AGCGCGACCGGGUCGACGGCGCGGGUCACGACGAGGUAGUCCCGCAGGACGAUGCCGUGGCGGUUCUC
rnacentral:sRNA from 1 species